rnacentral:misc_RNA from 1 species
CCAUUUUGUAUUUAGCAAAACACACCAAGUGAAGGAAUCAAGGAACGGGAAGCGACGGACGUUGGAUGAUUGAAGACGACGCCUUGCCUUCUAAUUCAUUAUAUAAUCGCCAAGAAAGCGUUGUUUUACUAAAUUAUAUUUCAUAGACAGUGACUUGUUUAGAUUUUUGUAAUAGAACUUGCAUCAGUAUCUUCUUUGUAAGUGCAUUUAGAAAUUCUACAAACUAAAACUUCUUGUUACGAGUUUGAAGCAUUUUCCACGCGUACAAGGUCAUUGAGUAAGUUGUAAACUUGUCUUUUACAUAAAUUCUUCAUCAUGGCUAGUAGUAGAAAUGAAAGAAACGACUGCAGAAUCUAUGUUGGAAAUCUUCCUCCUGAUAUAAGAACCAAGGACAUUGAGGAUUUGUUCUACAAAUUUGGCAAGGUGAUGUUUGUCGAUUUGAAGAACCGAAGAGGCCCACCUUUUGCGUUUGUGGAAUUUGAAGAUCCCCGAGAUGCCGAGGAUGCUGUUCAUGCUCGUGAUGGGUACGAUUACGACGGAUACAGAUUGAGAGUGGAGUUUCCUCGCGGUGCAGGUCCCAGAGGAUUCAGGGAAGGAAGAGGCGGCGGCAUGGGUGGUGGAGGCGGAGGCCGUACCAGAGGUCCUCCAGCUAGAAGAUCAAACUACAGAGUGCUUGUUACUGGUCUACCGCCUUCGGGAAGCUGGCAGGAUUUAAAGGAUCACAUGCGGGAAGCCGGAGAUGUGUGCUAUGCUGAUGUAUUUAAAGACGGCACUGGAGUUGUUGAGUUUCUGCGUCACGACGACAUGAAAUACGCCUUCAAGAAGCUGGAUGACUCGAGAUUCAGAUCUCACGAGGGAGAAACUUCCUACAUCAGGGUGAAGGAGGAUUAUUCUGGUGGUGGAUAUCGCGACAGCGAGGACAGAGGCCGUUCCAAGAGCAGGAGCUAUUCGCCCGACAGACGUGGAAGUCCGGUUUACUCUCCGGUGCGUCGCAGUUACUCUCGUUCCAGAUCACGAUCUUGAAUCAUUCCUUGGGUGUAUUGGACACCAGAGCAAUGUUGUAAGGAUAAGGAUUAAAGACAAAUUAAGGAGCAACACACAGCUGACACGGCUGGCUUGCGUUGCGCUGAGUGGAGGAUUAUGGAUUCAUAGGAUUUCAGAGAAAGAGAGAGUGAGUGAGAAGAGGGAGAGGAUAAAUGCCUCGUUUAAAUUCCUCCUCCUCCAGUUAAUUUGGAUCCCUCGUGGGAGCGCCCUCGCCACUAACUGCGUGGGACGUUAGGAUCAUGAAGGAUCAGGAUCAGGAUUAGGAUCAAAUGCCGGAUUGGAUCACUAGGAUCGCGUGGACCCACAUUCUUUGGCCAUAGUCAGUGGAUGUUGGUUUUACCGUACGUGCAUUUUGAGCUUGAAAUAGGCGCAUCAUGCUAUUACCAGAAAGUUUUUUACUAUUCUUCAGCCAUCUUAACUUUUAUGAGAACGGAACAUUUUAUCAAUGAGUAAUGUGUAUUAUUUGCAACAAUUUGUAUUGUAAUAUUGAAUAAUAAAUAGUGAAUACGUCCUGAUUUUAUUGGCGGGAUGGUCUCCAAUUUCCAUUAGCUAUGUAAUUUUAGAAUUGAUUUCUGAAGAUUGUAUGCGUGUGCAUGAGAUUUUCUUAAAAGUUUCAUUAUAUUAUUAUAUUUAGACUCAAGUAUUUUGACAUUGGUUUGUAUGAGUUGUACUUCAAUAAAGAUGAACAUUUCAUUUA